rnacentral:lncRNA from 10 species
GUGGCAUGCACCUGUAAUCCCAGCCACUCAGGAGGGUGAAGAACAAGAAUUGCUUGAGCCCAGGAGGCAGAGGUUUCAGUGAGCCAAGAUCACACCACUGCACUCCAGCCUGGGCAACAGAGCAAAACUCCAUCUCAAACAAAUAAAUAAAAUAAAACAGUGGAAAUCAUAAAAGCAGAGAAUAGAAUAGUGGUUGCCAGGGGUCUGGGUCGAGAGAAAUAGGGAAUUAUUGCUCAAUGAAUACAAAGUUCCAGUAAUGAAAGAUGAAUAAGUUCUAGAGAUAUGCUGUAUAACAUAGUACCUAUAGUUAACGAUACACCAUUGUGCACUUGAAAAUAUGUUAAGAGAAUCAUUCUCAUGUUCAGCAUUCUUAGCACAAAACACAAAACAAAAGUAUGCAAGGACAUUUUUGGAGGUGAUGGAUAUGUUUAGUACAUCGACUGUGGUCAUGAUAUCAUGGGUGUAUGCAUAUAUUCAAACUCAGGAAAAUGUCUACGUUAGAUAUGUGCAAUUUUUAUAUCAAUUAUAACUCAAUAAAGUUUUAAAAACAUGAAAAUAAUACCCUAUACAAUAAAAUAUAGCUUCAAGAAUUCCAUAUAAAUAAUACCAAAAGUGUAGACAACGAAUGAAUACUGCAUGUCUCUCAUAGUAAAACUAUUUCAUCAAGCCCUGCGUAGUUGCUAUAUGCUUCUUGACAAGUAGUAAGAAAUUUGAAGUUUACAGUGAUUAUGCAAUGACAAUGUACAAUAGUAGUAAAUCUGGGGAAAAAACAGAAUAGAUGAUAGAUAGAUAGAUAUAGAUAGAUAGAUAGAUAGAUAGAUAGAUAGAUAGAUAGAUAGAUAGUUUUUUGUUUGUUUGUUUUUUGUUUUUAAGAGAUGAAGUCUUGCUCUGUCAUCCAGGCUGGAGUACAGUGACACAAUCACAGCUGACUGCAGCCUCCAACCGCUGGGCUCAAGGGGUACUCCCACCUCAGCCUCCAGAACAGCUGGGACUACAGGCACACACCACCACACCCAGUUAAGUUAUUUUUGUAGAGAUGGGGUCUCACCAACUUGCCCAAGCCAGCCUCAAACUCCUAGGCUCAAGCGAUCCUCCAACCUUGGGAUCCCAAAGUGUUGGGAUGGGAUUGUGUUGGCAGAAAAUAACUUAUGCAAAUAAUUCUUCAACAGAAAGCAGCUUACUGUAGUGGAAAUGGAGUUAAAAAUUAAAGAUUAGACUCUACAUGCUAACACAGAUUUGAUGCCAUUAAUAUUUUUUAAUCCUCUGUCUUUUAAAAAGAAUAUAUGUAAUAAAUAAUCCUAUUUCAGAAGGAUAAUGUGAUAAAUAAGAUUUAUAUAUGAAAAUCCUUUCCAACUUCUCUAAAAGAAAGUAUUCAUUUUAUUGUGAUUCCCAAACAUAAUUUGACAUAUACUUUAUUAUAAUUGUUCACUAGUAGAACAUAGCCAUGGUAGGUCCCAAUAUUGUGUGCCAAAAUAGAAUUAAUAGAUUAAUCUUUUCCUUACUCAUAAUUUUAAAAUCACUCUUUCAACCUGAAACAUUUUCAGAGUUGACAUAUAUUGUGCCCAUUUUGACUGCAUAGAAAUAUAAACCCCUAUAUUGUGACUUCCAGUUUGUAAAAUAAAACAUUUUAAAUCUGUCAAUUUCAGGUGUUUCAAUCAAGAAAACAUGCAAGACUGAAUGCCUUCAGUUUAAUCAGUUUUUAAUCUAGCAGGCAGUUUGAUUGCUGAGCAUUUCUUGGAAAUUGUGAACAAGUAGUAUGUUAAGAAGAGAUGAAGAGAAAAGACAGGGAAAUAAGCAGCAGAAAUGGGGGAACAAGAGGAUCAAAACACGGUAGGAGACAAAAUAGCACAGGCAAAAUAUUAUGAUUUGGCAAUGAAUACAAAUUAGUAUGAUCUGACUUAAUAUAAGGGUAAAUAAAAAUUGCCAUAAAGCUUUAAAUAUAGAAUAAAUAUUCCUCAUCAUUUACCUUCCUCUCUGAAACUUCACUGUCAUUUGACUUAAUCUUCCGUGGAACUGUGACAUGCAGAAAUAUUCCUUCAGAACCUGCAGUAAGAAAAUGUGUUUGUUUUUGUCUUUGUUUUGCAUCAACAAUCGUCUCAGUCAAGCACGGGUUCUUAUCCCGGACUGCAUGGUGGCGCCUAAAAUUUUAAGUAGAAGUUCUCUCAUGUGCUCACACUCUUUCUAGUCCACAAAUUUCACUACAUAAUCAACAGCACAUUGAAAAUGGCUAAGACACAAAAAAAGAAAAAAAAAUUAGACAUUGCAGUUCUACAGGCCCCUCUGGUUCCCUUUUAGAAUCGAUGAGAGACUUGCUUCCUCAGGACUCUGAGGAGUUCGCUGAAGGCAGUUAGUACUCCACCACCUCCACCCUCCUUCACAGAGUGGGAAGAUGCCAGAAGACGCACUGCGUGUGGGCCACUGAGACCAUGGGCGCUGAUGCAGAGCGCUAACAGGUCCUCCGCUAAGGCCUUUAGUUCCCCCUGGCCUGGCGUGGAAAGGUGUCCCUGACACACCAGAAGCACCAGCAUGGGAUCCCAGAAGGGAGAGGGGGAGGGUCCCAGAAUGACAAGAAACUGCUCCCAGUAAGAGCCCAGCCCAGCUAUAAAGUCGAAGAAGAAAGGGGAGGCUCCCAUGGACUUACCUU